UGGGGAAUAUUGGACAAUGGGGGGAACCCUGAUCCAGCCAUGCCGCGUGUGUGAAGAAGGCCUUAUGGUUGUAAAGCACUUUAAGCGAGGAGGAGGGUACUGGUAUUAAUACUACCAGCUACUGGACGUUACUCGCAGAAUAAGCACCGGCUAACUCUGUGCCAGCAGCCGCGGUAAUACAGAGGGUGCAAGCGUUAAUCGGAUUUACUGGGCGUAAAGCGCGCGUAGGCGGCUAAUUAAGUCAAAUGUGAAAUCCCCGAGAUUAACUGGGAAUUGCAUUCGAUACUGGUUAGCUAGAGUGUGGGAGAGGAUGGUAGAAUUCCAGGUGUAGCGGUGAAAUGCGUAGAGAUCUGGAGGAAUACCGAUGGCGAAGGCAGCCAUCUGGCCUAACACUGACGCUGAGGUGCGAAAGCAUGGGGAGCAAACAGG
rnacentral:rRNA from 1 species